CCAGGCAGAGAGUGUACGCUUCCGGCCUCACCUACGAGUAGCUUCCUCCGCGUAGGACGACCGCCCGGCGAUGGGAAGGACGAAUCGCUGGAAUAUUCUCCCGUUAUCCGCCCCCAUCGCCGGCACCGGCAACCAUCGCGGCCACCGCAGCGGGGCGCGGGCGCGUCCCGUCGCCGACGAGGCGGCCGACCAGACAGUCCAUUAUUGAUGUCUCCAAGGUGCAAUUGAUGAUAUCUAAAGAAAAUAUGCCAGGGAGUAUAAGGAGGGGAUGUUUCUGGAAGUGGUGGUGUCUGGAUUUCCUACCCAAGUUGCUGACAACCAAGAUGAGGAUAAUGGCGAUAUGCUGAUUGUCAUCACCGAUAGAGACAGAUGCAAAAAUCUUAGGCCAUCUCUUGGAGGUCUACCGAAUAGAAAUCUUCUAUGGUGGUAGGGUAAAGUGUGUUUGUCAUACCGUGCAUCUGAUCCGCUCUCAGGCUGCAGUGACGAGAUUUUAAAGGAUCAUGCCCCGUCCAUAAUGUUCCCAAUUUGUCACUUUAUCCAUGGAAAAGCAAUGCUUUCAGUAUGCUCAAGAACCAAGCUUCGCAAAAGACAUUUCCAAUCCGGAGGGGCUCCUGUGGGGCGUGUUGCUCAGGCACGUCGACAGUAAAAGCCGGUCAGGAGGAUAAUCAGGGUGCCCACUGGAGCAGCUGCAGUUCUGCAGGAUGUGCAAAGCUGAGACCGACCGUCGCCAGGGUAUAAGAGAUGCGGAGAUAUUUUGGAACGACAGCUAGCUAUUUCAUUACAGAGAGAUACUAGCAUUACACAAUAAGCUGCUGCCUGCUGCAGCCAAAGUGGGAGGCACUGAAAUGCUACACGUUAGACAUGAUACUCUUUCGCUGGAGGAUUCUUCCUGAACGCCGCAAAGAAGGCCACCUGGAUGAAAAGGGCAAUGGAGGUGACUCAGUCAAGUUGAGCAAGGAACAAAUUCAGUAUGCAGCAGUAUAUAUUGGGUAAUCUUACAGCCAGGGAAGCAAAUGCAAAGUCCACCCCAAAACUGUUGAGGAUGCUAUUGCCGGGUUGCAGACUUGCAGUAGAACAGUAGAAUGCCAAGAGAAUGCGGAAGGUACAGCGCAGUUAUAAAAAGGGAAGAUGGGGAGCAACCGAGCAAGAAGGUGAAAGUUUGGUGGCUUGUACUUGUAAGGACCGGAAAAUCAAUCAACAACCUCACCUGUACCACCGCCAUCUUCAGAUUAAAAUGGCAGAGAAUUUCUUCACGAAAAUAACCCUUCCUGCGGGCAUGCAGGAAGGACAGUGCAAAGAGUAAAUAAGAGUACAUGCAUGCAAUUUUGCUGCGCAGAUCAGGGGGGGGGGGGGGGCACAGGCUUGCAGAGUGUGCAUAGUGUUUUAAUUCGAACAAAUCAACUAGCUAGAUCGCAAAAUCCUGUACUGGCCAUCAGAAUUCAGAACUAAGGAUCAAAUGCGAGCUGCCACUCUGAAAAGAGGCGGAGGAAAAGUUAUUCUCACAUUUUUUCUUUCACAGGGACCAC